rnacentral:rRNA from 1 species
GACGAACGCUGGCGGCGUGCUUAACACAUGCAAGUCGAACGGAAAGGCUCCAGCUUGCUGGAGUGCUCGAGUGGCGAACGGGUGAGUAACACGUGGGCAAUCUGCCCUGCACUCUGGGAUAAGCCUGGGAAACUGGGUCUAAUACCGGAUAGGACCUCUCUCCUCAUGGGGUUUGGUGGAAAGUUUUUCGGUGCAGGAUGAGCCCGCGGCCUAUCAGCUUGUUGGUGGGGUAAUGGCCUACCAAGGCGACGACGGGUAGCCGGCCUGAGAGGGUGAUCGGCCACAUUGGGACUGAGAUACGGCCCAGACUCCUACGGGAGGCAGCAGUGGGGAAUAUUGCACAAUGGGCGAAAGCCUGAUGCAGCGACGCCGCGUGAGGGAUGACGGCCUUCGGGUUGUAAACCUCUUUCAGUAGGGACGAAGCGCAAGUGACGGUACCUGCAGAAGAAGCACCGGCUAACUACGUG